UGAUCUCCAGGCCUCAUUCCAGUA
rnacentral:misc_RNA from 1 species